AGGCUUGCAAAUGUAUCAAUAAAUGGUUGCAAUGUACUGUAGUUAAGGCAAUGAUGUACUUCAAAUUUAGAUUACUAGAGAAAAAGAUAUCAUGAAGAUGACCAACGAUCACUUUGUGAAAAUUUUCUUUUAACUUCCAAUUUG